CAGCCGCCGCGGGAAAACGAAGGGGGCUAGCGUUGCUCGGAAUUACUGGGCGUAAAGCGCACGUGGGCGGACUCUUAAGUCAGGGGUGAAAUCCUGGAGCUCAACUCCAGAACUGCCUUUGAUACUGAGAGCCUUGAGUUCGGGAGAGGUGAGUGGAACUGCGAGUGUAGAGGUGAAAUUCGUAGAUAUUCGCAAGAACACCAGUGGCGAAGGCGGCUCACUGGCCCGAUACUGACGCUGAGGUGCGAAAGCGUGGGGAGCAAACAGGAUUAGAUACCCCGGUAGUCCCUGUCUCUUAUAC
rnacentral:rRNA from 1 species